AGAGUUUGAUCMUGGCUCAGGACGAACGCUGGCGGCGUGCUUAACACAUGCAAAGUCGAACGGUGACCUCGGAGCUUGCUCCGGGUGAUCAGUGGCGAACGGGUGAGUAACACGUGAGCAACCUGCCCCCGACUCUGGGAUAACCCCGGGAAAUCGGAGCUAAUACCGGAUACGAGACGUACAGGCAUCUGUUGCGUCUGGAAAGAAUUUCGGUCGGGGAUGGGCUCGCGGCCUAUCAGCUAGUUGGUGGGGUAGUGGCCUACCAAGGCGACGACGGGUAGCCGGCCUGAGAGGGCGACCGGCCACACUGGGACUGAGACACGGCCCAGACUCCUACGGGAGGCAGCAGUGGGGAAUAUUGCACAAUGGGCGCAAGCCUGAUGCAGCGACGCCGCGUGAGGGAUGACGGCCUUCGGGUUGUAAAGCUCUGUCAGAGGGGAAGAAAUGUAUGGAUGCUAAUACCAUCUUUACUUGACGGUACCCUCAAAGGAAGCACCGGCUAACUCCGUGCCAGCCGCCGCGGUAAUA
rnacentral:rRNA from 1 species